CUUCACACAAUACGACGAAACGCGUUCUAUAAAAGCGUGUUGAGAUUUCUCAAGUGAGCACAAGAAACAGCGACGGGGACAAACGAACAGCAACAUCAAGAGACAAGAUGGUCAAAUCCUUGCUGGUUCUCUUCCUAGUCGUCGCAGUAGGAUGCGUUGUCCUUCGCUGCGCUGAUGCGCGCCUCCUGGAAGCUAAAGACCUCACUGAUCCAGUCACAGGCCUUCUUGACAACACCGUACAGGCCAGAGACCUCACUGACACUCUUGUGCCUGACGCUGGAAAGAAGGCGCUAAAGCCGCUAGACAAAGAUGGCUCUUCUCCUUCGAAAGUGGACCAGGUCGGCGGCACCUUGUAAAGAAUCCUCGACAGCGUUAAGGUGUACACGGAGAAUCUAUUUGUGACCUUACUGAAUAAAAAUUUUCAGCAUUUA